GAAAAAACAGAAGGAUAAGUAAGUCUUUUCGACCUGACAGUGAAUCGGGGUUAGUGGAAAACCGAUGAGGUAUCGAAAAAACUGAAUAACACUUUCUGAGAUUGCUACCCCAAAUGGCGUUGCCAAAGUAGGCGUAGACGUGACCGGCCCGUUAUUGUCCGGAGGCGCAUGAUUGUGCGUCGUAAGGUGGUCUAUUUAAAAUAGACAAACUGGGUGGUACCGCGAAAAGUCUUUCGUCCCUUUA
rnacentral:ncRNA from 1 species